rnacentral:rRNA from 1 species
GACGAACGCUGGCGGCGUGCUUAACACAUGCAAGUCGAACGGAAAGGCCCUGCUUUUGUGGGGUUCUCGAUUGGCGAACGGGUGAGUAACACGUGAGUAACCUGCCCUUGACUUUGGGAUAACUUCAGGAAACUGGGGCUAAUACCGGAUAGGAUCUCCUGCUGCAUGGUGGGGGUUGGAAAGUUUCGGCGGUUGGGGAUGGACUCGCGGCUUAUCAGCUUGUUGGUGGGGUAGUGGCUUACCAAGGCUUUGAAGGGUAGCCGGCCUGAGAGGGUGACCAGCCACAUUGGGACUGAGAUACGGACCAGACGCCUACGGGAGGCAGCAGUGGGGAAUAUUGCACAAUGGGCGGAAGCCUGAGGCAGCAACGCCGCGUGCGGGAUGACGGCCUUCGGGUUGUAAACCGCAGUCGCCUGUGACGAAGCGUGAGUGACGGUAAUGGGUAAAGAAGCACCGGCUAACUACGUG